AGCGAACGCUGGCGGCGUGCCUAACACAUGCAAGUCGAACGUGAAAAGGGAAACCUGAGUAAAGUGGCGUACGGGUGAGUAACGCGUAGGUAAUCUACCCCAGAAUCUGGAAUAACCUGCCGAAAGGCGGGCUAAUACUGGAUAGAGCGAGGGAACUCGUAAGAGAGUUUUUCGGGAAAGGGAGCCCGCAAGGGCCUUCGUUCUGGGAUGAGCCUGCGUCUCAUUAGCUAGUUGGUAAGGUAACGGCUUACCAAGGCGAUGAUGAGUAGCUGGUCUGAGAGGAUGAUCAGCCACACUGGAAGUGAAACACGGUCCAGACUCCUACGGGAGGCAGCAGUGGGGAAUCUUGCGCAAUGGACGAAAGUCUGACGCAGCCACGCCGCGUGAGUGAAGAAGGCCUUCGGGUUGUAAAGCUCUGUCGGAUGGGACGAACAUCUUCAUAGUGAAUAGCUAUGAGGACUGACGGUACCAUCAAAGGAAGCACCGGCUAACUCCGUG
rnacentral:rRNA from 1 species